GACGAACGCUGGCGGCGUGCCUAAUACAUGCAAGUCGAACGCUGAAGGAGGAUCUUGCUUCUCGGGAUGAGUUGCGAACAGGUGAGUAACGCGUAGGUAACCUGCCUGGUAGCGGGGGAUAACUAUUGGAAACGAUAGCUAAUACCGCAUAAUAGUAGAUGUUGCAUGACAUUUGCUUAAAAGGUGCAAUUGCUUCACUACCAGAUGGACCUGCGUUGUAUUAGCUAGUUGGUGGGGUAACGGCUCACCACGGCGACGAUACAUAGCCGACCUGGGAGGGAGGACGGCCAAACUGGGACCGGGGAACGGCCCAGAACUCUAAGGGAGGGCACAGUAGGGGAUCUUCGGAAAAGGGCGGCAGUCUGGACCCAGAACGCCGGGGGAGUGAAGGAGGGUUUCGGAUCGGAAAGCUGUGUUGUAAGGGAAGGACGAGUGUGGGAGUGAAACGUCCAGAGUAUGACGGUACCUGAAGAAAAAGCGCCGGCUAACUACGUG
rnacentral:rRNA from 1 species